ACGGGACACCUGCAUCUGCCAACAAGACUGGAAGCAGGUUGGCGCAUGGACAUUUUCCCAGAAAGGGACAGAGACGGCGAAGUUUGACGGUCUGGAAAGCAGAGACCAGCAGGGCUGACUGCUUGGGAGCACCAAAUAUCCGGACAGCGCCUCUCGGGAGGUCCGAGAAGAGAACCGCGAUCUGUUUCAGCACCGGGGCUCAGGACAGUUCCCAGCGGGCUCCGUUUCGUCUCCAGAACCCUGGACAGCUCCUCCAGUAGAGACGGGGUUUCACCAUGUUGGCCAGGCUGGUCUCAAACUCUUGACCUCUUCAUCCGUCCACCUCAGCCUCCCAAAGUGCUAGGAUUACAGGCGUGAGUCACUGCGCCUGGCCCAAGUCCGGAAUUUUCAACAGCUUGGAAUGCACUCCCUCCACCUCCAACCAGAGCUCCCCACAACUGACCCUGCCUUCUUCUGCAAGCUCCAUUUCAUCAAGGGAAACGAUCCUUAUUGCCUCACCAUUUCCCACGUGAAGUCUGUAUUGACAUUCUCAUAGACCUGGGAUAUUGUGUCUGCAGCACAUAGUCCAAUUAUUUUCAUGUUAUCUACUGACAGGUCUAUUUGUCUCCCUGUUACACUGUGAGCUCCGUGAGGGCAGAAACAAUGUUAGUAUUUUCACUGCUGUGUCCCCAGCGCCUGGUCCGGGGCCCGGCACACAGCAGGCAUAUAAUAAGCAUGUGUUGAAUCAAUAAAGGCAUCAAAGAAUAAA
rnacentral:lncRNA from 1 species